rnacentral:rRNA from 1 species
CCUACGGGGGGCAGCAGUGAGGAAUAUUGGUCAAUGGGCGAGAGCCUGAACCAGCCAAGUCGCGUGAGGGAGUACUGCCCUAUGGGUUGUAAACCUCUUUUGUCGGGGAGCAAAAGCCGGACGUGUCCGGCUGUGAGAGUACCCGACGAAAAAGCAUCGGCUAACUCCGUGCCAGCAGCCACGGUAAUACGGAGGAUGCGAGCGUUAUCCGGAUUUAUUGGGUUUAAAGGGGGCGCAGGCGGAUUUUUAAGUCAGCGGUAAAAUCGGGGGGCUCAACCCCAUCCAGCCGUUGAAACUGGGGAUCUAGAGUGUGCGAGAGGUAUGCGGAAUGCGUGGUGUAGCGGUGAAAUGCAUAGAUAUCACGCAGAACCCCGAUUGCGAAGGCAGCAUACCGGUGCACAACUGACGCUCAGGCACGAAAGCGUGGGUAUCGAACAGGAUUAGAUACCCGAGUAGUC